rnacentral:lncRNA from 1 species
AAUACUUGUGUAAAUACAACGCUAAAACCAAAGGAUGGUCAGCUUUUCAUUUAGCGUGUCAAAACGGACAUAAAGAGGUAAUUAAGUUAUUAAUCGAUGUUGGUAUGAAUAUUGAUGACACAACAAAUAGCGAUUUAAACGGUCCAGAAUUAAAUAUUCGUGUUUAUACUACCAUUAAAGACAAAAAUGGAUGGUUAGCUUUUACAUGUAGCUUGUUCUAAUGGACAUUCAGAAAUAUCAAAGCUAUUGAUUGAUGUCGGUAUGAAUAUAAAGAAAAGAGACCAUUCUGGAAAAAACAGAUGUUCACAUAGCUUGAUUCAAUGGACAUGGUGAUAUUGUGAAAGAUAUUAAUAAAUUAGUUGUGCAGAAAUAACAAAUACAGGACAAUUACAGACGUAUUCCGUAUAUGUUUGCUAAAGAAAAUGGUUAUUCCGAUAUUAUGAAACUUUUGAAAGAAUAGUUUAAACAACAUUACGAAGAAUAUAAUAAAAGAGCGUAUAAACAUUGUAAUCACAACCAAUUAAGCACUAUAUAGGGAUAUCAAUUUAUUGAAACUUUUACUGACUAUUUGUUUCUAAUUAGAUUUUGUGAC